UGUUAAAAAUUUCAUCCAUUCUACCGUUAAAAACUAACGUGACUGAUGAAAUAACUAGACAAUUACACGUGACAUGCCAUGUGUACCUUAUGCUGACAUACAUGGACUAGUUUUUUUACAAUAAAAAUGGACGAAAUUGUUAACA
rfam:Gossypium raimondii Chr11_contig_336, whole genome shotgun sequence.